CAUCAAAGAAACUUGUUAUUUCUUUAUAUAUAUAUGUCGCAUCCAUUUAGUGAAAUCGCUCAUUUCAUGAAGUGGACAUCCACUUCAUGAAAUUUAUCCAUUUAGUGAAAAUGACUUUUUAUUACACUAUAUGGACAAUUUUUUAACCUCUUCAUGAAGUGGAUGAAUUCAUUUUAUCCACAUUGUGCAAAAUUACUAUUAUGCAUGAUUAUUUUUGGUAUUGGGUAAUUGUACGAUUUACACUAGGUAAUUGGAUUUUAAAUAAAUAUAAAAUUUGCUUGUUAUAAUUUGUAACUCGUACAUUGUAUAAACUAGUUCGUCAGUCGAUCUGAUAAUUUCAAGAUAAGAUAUAAAAUGACUGUAUAUAUAUAUAUAGUAAUAUACCGAUGUACAGAUAGCGUAUGAUCCCGUUGGCAAUUUUAUUGUCUGCUAGUGCCUAGGUAGUCUGUCUUAUACCUGCAAUUGUUGGUAGUUGUUGAAUUACUAAUACGUUAUUUUAUAAAAAUAAUAAAAUAUGGAAAAAGUAUUAUUUUAUGAAAAUUUGCAAGAAUAUUAUGUUACGAAGCCGAAGAAAAAACCUUUUAGUCAAGAGGAACAAAUUCAAAUGAUCACCGAGAUUGAAGCUGCUAAAACUUGGGGAAGUGAAUUUUUAUGAUCUUGCAAUUGAGACUGGAGUGUGGAGAGUUCAGAUGGUCGGAAAACACCCUUUUCAGUGAUUAUUCCAGUUAUCAGUCGAGCUGGUGUUACAUCAAAUGCUGGAUUCCAACAAGUU